AACGAACGCUGGCGGCAUGCCUAACACAUGCAAGUCGAACGCGUGGCUACGGCCACGAGUGGCGCACGGGUGAGUAGCGCGUGGGAACCUGCCCGGCAGUACGGGACAACCGCGGGAAACUGCGGCUAAUACCGUAUGAGCCCUGAGAGGGAAAGAUUUAUCGCUGUCGGAGGGGCCCGCGUCGGAUUAGGUAGCUGGUGGGGUAACGGCCUACCAAUCCUGCGAUCCGCAGCUGGUCUGAGAGGAUGAUCCGCCACACUGGGACUGAGACACGGCCCAGAAUCCUACGGGAGGCAGCAGUGGGGAAUAUGGGACAAGGGGGGAAACCCUGAUCAAGCAAUGGCGCGUGAGUGAUGAAGGCCUUAGGGUUGUAAAGCUAUUUCGCACGCGACGAUGAUUACGGUAGCGUGAGAAGAAGCCCCGGCUAACUCCGUGCCAGCCGCCGCAGUAAGAC
rnacentral:rRNA from 1 species